rnacentral:tRNA from 2 species
GCACUAGUAGCUCAGUCUCAGAGCACCGGUCUUGUAAACCGGACGUCGGGGGUUAAAUUCCCCCCUACUGCU